rnacentral:rRNA from 1 species
CGUAGGGUGCGAGCGUUAAUCGGAAUUACUGGGCGUAAAGCGUGCGCAGGCUGUUUUGUAAGUCAGAUGUGAAAUCCCUGAGCUCAACUUAGGAACUGCGUUUGAAACUACAAGACUAGAAUAUGUCAGAGGGGGUAGAAUUCCACGUGUAGCAGUGAAAUGCGUAGAGAUGUGGAGGAAUACCAAUGGCGAAGGCAGCCCCCUGGGAUAAUAUUGACGCUCAUGCACGAAAGCGUGGGAGCAAACAGGAUU